GGAAUGCGUAGGAAUCUACCCAGUAGUGGGGGAUAACCUGGGGAAACCCAGGCUAAUACCGCAUACGUCCUACGNGAGAAAGGGGGCCUGGGUUCCGGCUAUCGGAUGAGCCUAUGCCGGAUUAGCUCGUUGGUGAGGGAACGUCUCACCAAGGCGACGAUCCGUAGCNGGUNUGAGAGGAUGAUCAGCCACAUCGGGACUGAGACACGGCCCGAACUCCUACGGGAGGCAGCAGUGGGGAAUAUUGGACAAUGGGGGCAACCCUGAUCCAGCCAUGCCGCGUGUGUGAAGAAGGCCCUCGGUUUGUAAAGCACUUUCAGCGAGGAAGAACGCCUAUCGGUUAAUACCCGUUAGGAAAGACAUCACUCGCAGAAGAAGCACCGGCUAACUCCGUGCCAGCAGCCGCGGUAAUACGGAGGGUGCAAGCGUUAAUCGGAAUUACUGGGCGUAAAGCGCGCGUAGGUGGCUUGAUAAGCCGGUUGUGAAAGCCCCGGGCUCAACCUGGGAACGGCAUCCGGAACUAUCAGGCUAGAGUGCAGGAGAGGAAGGUAGAAUUCCCGGUGUAGCGGUGAAAUGCGUAGAGAUCGGGAGGAAUACCAGUGGCGAAGGCGGCCUUCUGGACUGACACUGACACUGAGGUGCGAAAGCGUGGGUAGCAAACAGGAUUAGAUACCCUGGUAGUCCACGCCGUAAACGAUGUCGACCAGCCGUUGGGUGCCUAGCGCACUUUGUGGCGAAGUUAACGCGAUAAGUCGACCGCCUGGGGAGUACGGCCGCAAGGUUAAAACUCAAAUGAAUUGACGGGGGCCCGCACAAGCGGGG
rnacentral:rRNA from 1 species